rnacentral:rRNA from 1 species
CCUACGGGAGGCAGCAGUGAGGAAUAUUGGUCAAUGGACGAGAGUCUGAACCAGCCAAGUAGCGUGAAGGAUGACUGCCCUAUGGGUUGUAAACUUCUUUUAUAUGGGAAUAAAAUGUUCCACGUGUGGGAUUUUGUAUGUACCAUAUGAAUAAGGAUCGGCUAACUCCGUGCCAGCAGCCGCGGUAAUACGGAGGAUCCGAGCGUUAUCCGGAUUUAUUGGGUUUAAAGGGAGCGUAGGUGGAUUGUUAAGUCAGUUGUGAAAGUUUGCGGCUCAACCGUAAAAUUGCAGUUGAAACUGGCAGUCUUGAGUAUAGUAGAGGUGGGCGGAAUUCGUGGUGUAGCGGUGAAAUGCUUAGAGAUCACGAAGAACUCCGAUUGCGAAGGCAGUUCACUGGACUGCAACUGACACUGAGGCUCGAAAGUGUGGGUAUCAAACAGGAUUAGAUACCCGGGUAGUC